rnacentral:rRNA from 1 species
UACGAAGGGGGCUAGCGUUGCUCGGAAUUACUGGGCGUAAAGCGCGCGUAGGCGGCUUUGUAAGUUAGAGGUGAAAGCCCAGGGCUCAACCCUGGAAUUGCCUUUAAGACUGCAUCGCUUGAACAUCGGAGAGGUAAGUGGAAUUCCGAGUGUAGAGGUGAAAUUCGUAGAUAUUCGGAAGAACACCAGUGGCGAAGGCGACUUACUGGACGAUUGUUGACGCUGAGGUGCGAAAGCGUGGGGAGCAAACAGG